rnacentral:tRNA from 1 species
GCGGAUGUGGCUCAGCUGGUAGAGCAUCACCUUGCCAAGGUGAGGGUCGCGGGUUCGAAUCCCGUCAUCCGCUC